GACAGAGGUGCCGAGCGUUAGGCGGAAUCACUGGGCUUAAAGCGCGUGUAGGUGGCGGCCUAAGUACCUUGUGAAAUCCUGCGGCUCAACCGCAGAACUGCUUGGUAUACUGGGUCGCCUGAGUCAUCCAGGGGCAACUGGAACAAGCGGUGGAGCGGUGAAAUGCGUAGAUAUCGCUUGGAACGCCAAAGGUGAAAACAGGUUGCUGGGGAUGUUCUGACACUGAGACGCGAAAGCCAGGGGAGCGAACGGG
rnacentral:rRNA from 1 species